rnacentral:lncRNA from 1 species
GUGCAUUCUCAGCCCAUGCUGCUUUAUUGCUAAAAUAUAUAUAUACACAGGUGCAGAGCUUCCAACUUUUUUAACAGUUCCUUUUUACAUCAAAGAAUUAAAUUUCUUCAAAAACCCCAAAGAUGCAUAGAUUAAGAAGCAAGCUGCCUUUUGUAAUACUUAAAAUAAUAUUCAAUGAAACUCUUAACGUUAUACACCAAUGGUGCAAUGGAGAAUAUGGAGGACAGCAAGUAAACACAGUGAGCAACUCUUAUUCUUACAAGGCAGUAGGUAAAGUAUAAUGUGAAGGACAGUCUAAGAUAAUCUUUCUGGUUAUAAGAAAUGGGUCGGUUUUGUGAUAAGUGCCAAGACUGUUACUGUUUAAGGAUUGAUGAUAAUGUAUUACCAGAAUACCUUUCUUAUCCCUGGGAGAAAAUAUUUUUUCACUGAUGGAAUGACAUAUCACCAAGGGAGAAAAAAACCUGAAUACUGUCAGUAACUAAGAUACCUAUUCUGACUUUAAAGAAGAUUUAGGACUUCAUGGAGAAAUCUGUGAUGUCUGGUUUCCCAAAAUUAAGUAUUUUAAUGUGCCUUAGUGGAAUAAUCGGAGGAAUUUAGAGAAACUCUGUUCUUAAUCUUUACUGGCUGACAGACAUGCUAUCAAGUAAUUGGGGAAGACAAACUAUAUUCAGGAUAUGACAUCUCACUUCAUAUAUUUCAAUGGAAACCAAACAUCACAGUCACAAGAAGUCUAAUUCAAUUCUGAACCACUGGAAAGUUACCAUUCCACUUUAUUCAUUCCCAAAGUUAUUUGUAGCAAAAUCCUACAGGAAAGAAUGAAAUAAAAAGUUUUCAAAAAAUUUUUUUCAAUCAUAGAAUGUAAAACCUUGAAUGUGCUUUGUGAAAAUCAUUUAGUCUAAUCUUGAAUUCUAUUUAGGCUUGUUUCAGACAUCAUGAAUGCCAUUUUUACGUCAUUUGUCACAAUCACUUGUACUUAUAUAAGGGUUAUUUUUAAAGUCAGGAAUUUUCUCAAGGAAAAUUUUAAGCUACUACAGGCCAGGUGCAGUGCCCCACAAACUCCAGUAGUAUCACUUAUUCUAUUGUACAACCUUGCUAAUGCAAAUUACUAUACAUGCACAAACUUAUUGCUACUAAAAUUCUACCUCUUGAAAAUUACUAUUAAUUUUAUGGCUUUUUUUUUCAACAGGAAAUAUCCUUUCCUAUAUAUUGUGCUAUUCUGUAUUCACUACCUUUUCAGUUUUUUUUUUUUUUUUUUUUUUUUUUUUUAAGUUAAAUGCUUUUCAGUAAUGGAUUCUCCCAGGCACUAAACUACUUAAGCCAGGAGUAUAACUACUUCAAAUACACUAUGAGAACCUAAACUUGGGUCUCUGGAGAUCUGCUGCCAGAGUCUACUUGUUCUAACCUGUGUAUGCGCAAGAUACACCACAUUAUAAUAGUUUUGCAUUUGCUAUCAUACAUUAGUUAUGUAGAAUCUGUGUCAGCAAAUGCUGGACUCUCCCUAAUACUGAAAUUUAAAAAUCACCUCAGAAAACUGCCAGUUCUGAGUUCUCAAGGCAGCUUUUAGAGGUAGGAAUUCCUUCUCUACAGAAAGCUAUCUUAUUCUUUCAGAACAAAAUGACUGUUUUAUUUCCACAAGUAAAGUAGAUAAAAGUGAAAGCUGUCUGAGGCUUACUAUACCCAAGAGAAAGUCUACUCACUACGUAGCAACCUAGGUAGGUGCCACCCAGCUACAUUUCCAGUUCUCAUGAAAAGAUCUGAAAAUCCCAUCAAUAGACAAUUCAGCACAUUUGGAAAUAGGAAGAGCCCUAACAAAUAAUUGAAUACUCCAAAUUACUGAGUGUUUGCACACAGCAUGCUGCAAACAGGAAAUGUAAAUGGUCUGCAGAUUAGAAAAGCACUCACUGAAGCAAUUAACAGCAUCUCCAUAAGACAUGCAAAAUGUAAUUUCUUGACAUACAAGGAGUAGGAAAAUAAUGAAACUAAAAGACAUGCCAUGUUAAGACAUGAAAAGAGCAGGCCAGGUGGAUUACUUGAGGUCAGGAGUUUGAGACCAGCCUGGCCAACACAGCAAAACCCCGUCUCUACUAAAAAUAUAAAAAUUAGCUGGGCGUGGUGGCACGUGCCUGUAGUCCCAGCUACUCGGGAGGCUGGGGCACGAGAAUCACUUGAACCCAAGAGGCAGAGGUUACAGUGAGCAAAGAUUGUGCCACUGCACUCCAGCCUGGGUGACAGAGUGAAACUCUAUCUCCCCCCCACCCCAAAAAAAGAGCAAAGCAGAAUAAUUAAAUGCGGUCUCAUUUUGACUUGAGGUUUCAUAAGACACAAAGACAGCUGGUUUCCAGAUACCUUAUGGAAAGCUGAAAUGUCCUCAAAUAUAGUAUCUCAGAUUUUGACCCCACAUUUCUAUUCAUAAAUGAGUCUUUUGGGCCUUAAUCUCUUUUCCCCAGGAAGAAUAUAACAGAUUUAGACAUUAUGGAAAAAGAAAAGGUUUAGAUUUUCCACUCUUUUUACACUAUUUGUUAUUAUCAAUAAUUCAUCCUGAAGUUUAAAAUCACUAGACUCAUGCACUAACCCCUAACAUGGCACUACAAUAUGCUACCAAGCACUAAUGCUUACAAAACUAUACACAUCUCAAAAUGGAAGACAUUGGUGAUUUUGUUGUUCUUAAACAACUUGUAACAUUUGUCCACAAGUAUUAAAAUAUACAUAUAUAUAUAUAUAUUUCUAUUGCACAUAUCCCGGUUUUAACUUUUCAAAAGAAAAACUGCCAGCUAACAUGGAUGAGCAAGGGAAAGGAAGGAAGCAUGGCUACAAAUCGACGUAUAGUCCUGCCUAAAAUUAUAGCUUUUCCUAUCAAGGGGACCAAAAUAGACAAGAAAAAAAUGUAGAUGUGUUAAGUAAACACUGGGCAACUACAGCUGGAAUAUAUCCAUUUUGUUAAAUGCAUCUGGUCUGAAGCAUGGAAGAUACAAUUUCAAGAGCAUUAAACACUGGUUCUCUCAACUGUAUAUAAAGCAUAUAGAGACGCUGAGUCUGAUAGCUAUUCAAACAAGUGGGCCAGAGCUGGUUUCAAUGGUGCCAAAAGUACAGGUACUCUACCCCCUGCCAAAUGAUCCUACCAAAAAAGAUGCCAGAAGUACACAGAGAAGAUGGGUUUAACAGACACCUGGAAGGUGUCUCCAUUCUCCAUGAUAUGACAUUUUCAACAUACUAGUGGAACACCAUAUAUGUAGGCUCCAUUCUGUCUUGAACAGUUCCAAAAUAUUAAAGAAAAACAUCAGGAAGUUGGUAGAUUACUUAAGAGAAAAAUUUGAGUUACUUUUAACCAAAGUGAUUUCUACUAUGCUUUUAUCACUCAGUAGCUGCCCUCAAAAAAAGAAAUAUUUUAUAUAUAAUAUGUAAUUAUUUUACUGAAAGUAUUUUUUACCCAUUUCAAAUGGGCUGAUUGACCAAUCUCACUAAUAAUAAGAGUGCUCACCAUUUCCCAUUUUAGGCCAUUUUUAUCACUCUCAAAUUUUGGUGAAUCUUCCCUAAGUUCCCAGCAUCACAGCAUUCAUGGACCUGAGUAAACAUUCCGGAAAACACAGAGAUGUUCCAAUACUCUGUUCUUAAUUUCAUCUAAUUAGUUUUAAAAUUUAUUCUCUACUCACAAGAAGCAUAAAUAAAGGUUUCACUCUUAUAUAAAGACCUGACAAUACAUACAAUGGUCCUCUGCUGAUUUGGAAGCAAAGACAGUUUUCUACGACAGUCUGUUCUUUAUAAUGUAUAACUGUUGUGGGAAAAAAGAAAAUCCAUUUCUUAUUGUAAUUAUUUUUCUUAUUUGAGGUUUCUUUUCCACGAUGACCCAACCACAAGUUUGGGAACAUUGCUUCUGAGGCCCAUUCUCUGAUGAGAAAGUUCAGUCCCAACUGGGGAAAGUACCUGAGUCCCAGCCUUUUCAGCCUAGAAAUCAGGCUGAGCGUGGUGGUGCGCGCCUGUAAUCCUAGCUACUUGGGAGGCUGAGGCAGGAGAAUCGCUUGAACCCGGGUGGGAGAGACUGCAGUGAGCAGAAAUCACGCAUCACUCCAGCCUGGGCAACAGAGAGAGACUGCCUCAAAAAAUAAAUAAAUAAAUAAAUAAAAAUCAAACAUCCAAGUAUCCACCUUGGGUUGCAGGAAGAGUUAAUCUUAUGCGUUUAUUAAAAAAAGUAACUAUAUAAUGUGAAACACCAUAAAGUCAGAUGGCACUGCAUGAGGGAUUUUUGCUUCUUUUUCUUAAGGAAAAGGAGUUACAUGGAAAAUUCUCUCAUCCUCCCCCCUCUGCCCCCAACUCCUCUAUGUCCAAAGUUGUUUUUUAUUUUUCUGAGACGGAGUCUCACUCUGUCGCCCAGGCUGGAGUGCAGUGGUGCAAUCUCAGUUCACUGCAACCUCCGCCUCCCGGAUUCAAGCAAUUCUCCUGCCUCAGCCUCACGAGUAGCUGGGAUUACACGUAUCUACCACCACACCUGGCUAAUUUUCUAUUUUUAGUAGAGAUGGGGUUUCUCCAUGUUGGUCAGGCUGGUCUCAAACUCCCAACCUCAGGUGAUUUGCCUGCCUUGGCCUCCCAAAGUGUUGGGAUUACAGGUGUGAGCCACCACACCCGGCCUAGGUUUUUGUUUAAAAUUGGGCCUUUGUUCCUAUUCAGUAAAUCUAUGUCACAGGAUGAGCCAGGAUUUAAAUAUACAAAUAUAAAUUUUUAGUAUCUUUCACGUCAAAUUAGAAACACAUAUUUGGAAUUUACUGCUGCAGUCUCAACUGUGCUUAUCAUGGUAGUGGCUGAAACUGGAAGACAUUUUUUUUAAACCCUGAAGUCAUUCAUACUUGCUACUUCUUUAGUCUUCUUGCUUGGAAUGAAAAGUAUUCACAAAUACCACCACCUAAGCACCUGUUUCAAAUGAAACUCAGCCUUCUGCUUGCAAAAUGAUGUCUUUAUAAUUAAGCAAACAGCAAAAGACCCAUGUGAGUUGCUUCUUUCUUCCUGGAGAUGUUAGCAGGAUAACUGGAAUCCUAGGAGCUCCUCUGUGUUGAAUUUGAGAGGCAGAACAAAAAGAAAAGUGGCCUUUUCCAUUCCAAAUCAUGGAGGUAAUGUGUAGAGAAGUGAUAGCCACAUUUCAAAAACGGGAAAGUAACUGGGUAAAAGAAGCAGGACUACCCACUCUAGGAGACAACAUAGAGACAC